rnacentral:rRNA from 1 species
UACGAAGGGGGCUAGCGUUGUUCGGAAUCACUGGGCGUAAAGCGCACGUAGGCGGAUCUUUAAGUCAGGGGUGAAAUCCCGAGGCUCAACCUCGGAACUGCCUUUGAUACUGGGGAUCUCGAGUCCGGGAGAGGUGAGUGGAACUGCGAGUGUAGAGGUGAAAUUCGUAGAUAUUCGCAAGAACACCAGUGGCGAAGGCGGCUCACUGGCCCGGUACUGACGCUGAGGCGCGAAAGCGUGGGGAGCGAACAGG